GAGACAUCUCAGCUCCUACCAGUGGUCCUGGCAGGACACCUCCUACCUCCUCCUCCUCCUCGACCACAAACUCUCAGCUUUGCCUCACUUGAUGCACAGCGGCGCGAAGAAGUCCUAGAAGAAAUAAGACUCGGAAAGCAGUUGGCACCUACCAACGGAGGUCUUCUUCAUCUGUCCGGAGCUGAGAAAGUCCGCCCAAGUGCGAGCAGACGCACAGCUGCAGAGGGACAGUGGAUCCAGGACAGAGCUACAAAGACCGAGGGUAGGACACACACACACACACACACACACACACACACAAUCAUACUCAUACUUUUCAUUGAUUUAUGCGUUUCAGCCUCUGUAAUAAUUCAUGUGCUGACUUUGUGUGUUGGCAAAGUUAUUUGGUUUGGUGACAGAGCAGGGAUAACACUGGGUGGGGGGAAUCUACAUUUUGCAUUCAUCUCUAUUUCGAGACAAAUCCCCACGAGAUAUAAUUUCUCCUUCUGUGUUUUUUUUUUUUUUUCUGCAGUGACUUCACACAUUCCUCCCAUUCAGACUAUUUUUAUUGUUUCCCCACCCUGCAGGUUGUGUGUAAUCUGGAAAUAAUCGGUAUAAUUUGCACAUUAAGGAUGAAAUCUAAUGUCAGCUUUUAGCAAAAUUUCUCGUUACUUUUGCUAUUACUCCUCCGCCUGCAGACACCGCACAACGGGAAGCACUGCAUCGCUUCAUGAGUCCAAAUUCUGUCAUGAAUAUUCUGCAUCAAGGCUCUGAAGGAUGGGUCUUGGCUACAUGUUUGCCAUAUGCGUUGAAGCCGAGUCAGAUUGAGUAAGUUUGGCACCCAGAAAAAGACCGUGUACCACAAAUGAAUUCAAGUCAUUUUAGCCUCUAAGUUCAAGUAUGUACCUGAGUUAUUCUGGUUCUAUCUGUGAUUACUGCAGACGAAGCGACACAUUCUAAUAGGACAUCAGGGCUCAUUAUAGAGACAGCCACGAGCAAUUAAUGUCCUACCUGUCAACAUUUAUCAUUGUUAAGGAGUCCUCAAUUAAAAAUGAUAAAUACUUUCCAUCCUUUGGUGAUUUAAUUCUGUCAGCAUGUUUGCAAAACUAUUUUCUAGGGAACUGAGCUGUGGGCAAACAUCUCGGUUAAUCAGGGCUCUUUUUACUGCUGUGCAUACGCACUUACGAUAAUUAUACACAUGCGGACACACACGCUACUCAGAAGUUCUUGGCCUUGGUGGAGUGGAAUUGUAUUUCUGUUGUUUUCCAGUGCAGCCGUUUCUCGGGAACUGUAAGGCUGUGAAGCUUCUGUGAAUGUUCAGUGAUGAUGAAAGCUGUUACGGACAGAAUAAAUUCCCACUGUUGAUAAGAGUGAUUGGGGGGGGGGGAUGAUUGUUUCUGAAGGAGCAGUCAUUAUCACCGUUAUUGUGAUGGAAAUUUGAAGCAGCAUGCCAUUACAGCGAUGCCGCAAAAACCUAGAUCUGUGCUUUUUCUCUUGAUGAUAUUCCAUCAGUGCAUCAUUUAUUCUCAUUGCCUGCAUGCAAAGAGAUUUAUAAUUUUUUUUAAAAAGUGGGGGUCUGUGUUCUGCUCGUGAUGUCUGCAUAGCGAGAUUAAUUAUCCCCUUCAUCAGUUUCUGUUUUUGUUAUAUGGAAACUACCUCUGCUGCGUGCGAAGUUGAAUUUCCAAUACUGAACACACUUUUUAAAAAAGACACUUGUGGAAUGGCAUCCUGAUGCGCUGCACAUUUUAAAAUCCUAUCCUGCAGCAUGGCAAUCAGUUCUAAUGGGUAAAAUGAGCUUUUUAGCGCGCGAGGGUCAAUUUCCUGUCGUGCUGGUGUGUUUGUGGUUGCUACAUUUUAAUUUGAGCAAUAAACCGAAACCUUCAUUUCUUAAAAUUCCAUUACUGUGAAAAUAAAAAAACUCCAAUGAUGGAAAAUGUUGUUAAAGGUUGCACAUUUCUUUUCCUGUCUUUUUUUCCAGGCCACAAAGGAAGACUGCUUUAAAGACUGCCUGAGCUUAAGGAUUAGGGAAAACUCUUAUUUAAAAUUCAAAUAUUAUUCAUAAAAUAAUUACAGCAGGUGCUGCAAUACAAUCUGGUUCGAUUAGUCCUCCGUGUUCGAAGCG
rnacentral:lncRNA from 1 species